CAGAAUAUAGUUUAAGUAAAAUAUUAAUUUUGGAGAUUAAUGAUAGAUUAUAUCUUUUUCUGA
rnacentral:tRNA from 1 species